rnacentral:rRNA from 1 species
CACGAAAUAGUGUGAGCUAAUAAACACAAAGUUUUAGAUUUAAAGGUGUAGCAUAACUUAUAAUAGUGUUUAUUAGGGGUGAAAGGCUUGACAAAUACUAUGAUAUCUUGGUGUUACUUAAAUGUAUUUAGUACAAAGACAACUUAGUAGCGAUUAGGAUAUUAAGGAGUAUUUAUAUUAAUAAAUAAUUAAUACUUUGUAUAAUAAUUAGUAUACUAAGAGUUUAAUAUUAAUAUUAAUGGUUAAUUUAAAGUAGGUAACGUAAAAAAAUUACAUAAUUAUUCUUAAUGUUAGUAUAAGUAGUGAGAUAAUCAUUGAGAAUGAACUCGGCAAAAGGUCUUUCAACUGUUUAUCAAAAACAUAGCCAUGCGGAAUGAUAUAUGGUAACUUCUGCUCAAUGAAUAUAAAUAGCUGCAGUACCCUGACUGUGCAAAGGUAGCGCAAUCAAUUGACUUUUAAUUGGAGUCGUGUAUGAAAGAAUGAAUGGGGGACAACUUUAUUAACAGUGGUAUACGAAUUUGAUGAGUAAGUGCAAAUACUUAUAAUUUAACAAAAGACGAGAAGACCCUGAAAAUUUUAAGAAAAAGAGUUUAGUAAUCUUUUUGUUGGGGCAACAUAACAACAAUGGUAUAACUUGUUAGUUGAACAAGGGCAGAAUUAUUGCGUAAGGAUAAAUUACUUCAGGGAUAACAGCAUAAUUUAAAUAAAGUUUGUGACCUCGAUGUUGGAUUAGGGAGUUACUACUUAG